AGGGGGCUAGCGUUGUUCGGAAUCACUGGGCGUAAAGCGCACGUAGGCGGAUUUUUAAGUCAGGGGUGAAAUCCCGAGGCUCAACCUCGGAACUGCCUUUGAUACUGGAGAUCUUGAGUCCGGAAGAGGUAAGUGGAACUGCGAGUGUAGAGGUGAAAUUCGUAGAUAUUCGCAAGAACACCAGUGGCGAAGGCGGCUUACUGGUCCGGAACUGACGCUGAGGUGCGAAAGCGUGGGGAGCAAACAGG
rnacentral:rRNA from 1 species